rnacentral:tRNA from 1 species
GGUCCCUUGGCCCAGUUGGUUAAGGCGUCGUGCUAAUAAAGAAAUUAGCCCCUUUUGCAAACGCGAAGAUCAGCAGUUCGAUCCUGCUAGGGACCA